UUAAUUUAUACUUUGGGUGGUUGUGAUGGUGCCACGCUGUGUGCGUCUCAAUAAUUCUAUGCCCUUUUCUUUCUUUUUCAUCAUACAUACAUACAUACCCAAAUUAAACCAAUCUUAUUAUGGCAUAUGGAAGGUGGCUCGAUGUUGGUCGGGAUUGGAUCUGUUGAAAAAGUAUCUUUCUUAUGUAUAACGUAUCAAGAUUUUGUGAAUUUUGAACACAUGGAUUUAUGUAGAUCUAAGAUUAAAGAUUCUAACUCAUUUUUGUCUGAAAAUUCAGAUCUAAUAGAGGGUAUCAACGGAUCCAACUCUAAGCUAUUUUGAAAAAACGGGUUGGACUUCAAAUUUAGAUCUACACCAAUUUUGUGUACAAAAUUCUUGAUUUUUGUUUGUAAUCUUGUAGGUGUGAAAGAUAGGGUUCCAAAAAUGUGAAGAGUGUUUUCUCCUAUAAUUUGGAACUUGUUUAAU